rnacentral:rRNA from 1 species
UACGGAGGGUGCAAGCGUUAUCCGGAUUCACUGGGUUUAAAGGGUGCGUAGGCGGGUAGGUAAGUCAGAGGUGAAAUCCUGGAGCUUAACUCCAGAACUGCCUUUGAUACUAUCUAUCUUGAAUAUGGUGGAGGUAAGCGGAAUAUGUCAUGUAGCGGUGAAAUGCAUAGAUAUGACAUAGAACACCUAUUGCGAAGGCAGCUUACUACGCCUAUAUUGACGCUGAGGCACGAAAGCGUGGGGAUCAAAC